GAUGAACGCUAGCGAUAGGCUUAACACAUGCAAGUCGAGGGGCAGCAUGAACAAAGCUUGCUUUGUUUGAUGGCGACCGGCGCACGGGUGCGUAACACGUAUGCAACUUGCCCAUAAAACAGGGAUAACCCGGAGAAAUUCGGACUAAUACCUGAUAGUAUUGAGAGGAGGCAUCUUCUUUUAAUUAAAGAUUUAUCGAUUAUGGAUAGGCAUGCGCAUGAUUAGCUAGUUGGUGAGGUAAUGGCUCACCAAGGCGACGAUCAUUAGGGGUUCUGAGAGGAAGGGCCCCCACACUGGUACUGAGACACGGACCAGACUCCUAUGGGAGGCAGCAGUGAGGAAUAUUGGUCAAUGGACGAGAGUCUGAACCAGCCAAGUCGCGUGAAGGAAGACUGCCCUAAGGGUUGUAAACUUCUUUUGUAUGGGAAUAAAAGUGGCACGUGUGCUAUAUUGUAUGUACCAUACGAAUAAGGAUCGGCUAACUCCGUGCCAGCAGCCGCGGUAAGAC
rnacentral:rRNA from 1 species